UAUUGAUGAGACCAUAUAUUUAU
rnacentral:snRNA from 1 species